UACGUAGGGUCCGAGCGUUGUCCGGAAUUAUUGGGCGUAAAGGGCUCGUAGGCGGUCUGUUGCGUCGGGAGUGAAAACUUACAGCUUAACUGUGAGCGUGCUUCCGAUACGGGCAGACUUGAGGUAUUCAGGGGAGAACGGAAUUCCUGGUGUAGCGGUGAAAUGCGCAGAUAUCAGGAGGAACACCGGUGGCGAAGGCUGUUCUCUGGGAAUAUCCUGACGCUGAGGAGCGAAAGUGUGGGGAGCGAACAGG
rnacentral:rRNA from 1 species